GCAUAUCAAUAAGCGGAGGAAAAGAAACUAACCAGGAUUGCCUCAGUAAGGGCGACUGAAGCGGGAAGAGCUCAGGAUGUGAAUCUGCGCCUUGGUGCGCCGAAUUGUGGUCUGUCGACGGUGGCAUUACUGGCCGGGCCAAGUCCCUUGGAACAGGGCAGCUGAGAGGGUGAGACUCCCGUUCGCUUGGCCUUUGGAGUGAGUGUCGACGAGUCGAGUUGUUUGGGAAU
rnacentral:rRNA from 1 species